rnacentral:rRNA from 1 species
GGGCGUGCGGACGUYGUCGUCGAUGGUGUUGCGUCUUCGGACGGUUCGYCACGCGCUGCGUACGCAAACGUCCCGGGACGGCGUGCACUUCUCCCUCAGUAAUACAUCGCGACCCGUUCGAUGUCGGUCUACGCUCCGCGCGGGAGUCUCUCGGUCGGCCCUCGCGGGUCUCGGCCGGGUUGACCGCUUUGCGGCAGCCGACCGGCCGUCGGACGGUAAAACAACGAAACGUGCACGCGUGCUAUUCAGCAGCGCGUCCGGCCCGACGCAAGGUCAGCUUCGUCACCGCCCUCUGCCCGAGCGCGAGGGAGGGGGCGACGCGCCUGUACGUCGCAGCCGUGGUCUCGGACCGUGCACGUGUCCGUCUGCGAUGAUUCAGUUUCGGGCACUCGCAGGACCCGUCUUGAAACACGGACCAAGGAGUCUAGCAUGUGUGCGAGUCAUUGAGAUUAUUUCGAACGAAACUUAAAGGCGUAACGAAAGUGAAGGAGGACGCUCGUCGCCCUCUCAGGGAGGAUGGAGCGUCGAUCUCGAUCGGCGUUCUCGCACUCCCGAGGCGUCUCGUUUCCAAUCUGCGAAUGCAGGCGCGCUCUGAGCACAGAUGCUGGGACCCGAAAGAUGGUGAACUAUGCCUGGUCAGGUCGAA